rnacentral:rRNA from 1 species
GGUUAAGCGACUAAGCGUACACGGUGGAUGCCCUGGCAGUCAGAGGCGAUGAAGGACGUGCUAAUCUGCGAUAAGCGUCGGUAAGGUGAUAUGAACCGUUAUAACCGGCGAUUUCCGAAUGGGGAAACCCAGUGUGAUUCGUCACACUAUCAUUAACUGAAUCCAUAGGUUAAUGAGGCGAACCGGGGGAACUGAAACAUCUAAGUACCCCGAGGAAAAGAAAUCAACCGAGAUUCCCCCAGUAGCGGCGAGCGAACGGGGAGCAGCCCAGAGCCUGAAUCAGUGUGUGUGUUAGUGGAAGCGUCUGGAAAGGCGCGCGAUACAGGGUGACAGCCCCGUACACAAAAAUGCACAUGCUGUGAGCUCGAUGAGUAGGGCGGGACACGUGGUAUCCUGUCUGAAUAUGGGGGGACCAUCCUCCAAGGCUAAAUACUCCUGACUGACCGAUAGUGAACCAGUACCGUGAGGGAAAGGCGAAAAGAACCCCGGCGAGGGGAGUGAAAAAGAACCUGAAACCGUGUACGUACAAGCAGUGGGAGCACGCUUAGGCGUGUGACUGCGUACCUUUUGUAUAAUGGGUCAGCGACUUAUAUUCUGUAGCAAGGUUAACCGAAUAGGGGAGCCGAAGGGAAACCGAGUCUUAACUGGGCGUUAAGUUGCAGGGUAUAGACCCGAAACCCGGUGAUCUAGCCAUGGGCAGGUUGAAGGUUGGGUAACACUAACUGGAGGACCGAACCGACUAAUGUUGAAAAAUUAGCGGAUGACUUGUGGCUGGGGGUGAAAGGCCAAUCAAACCGGGAGAUAGCUGGUUCUCCCCGAAAGCUAUUUAGGUAGCGCCUCGUGAAUUCAUCUCCGGGGGUAGAGCACUGUUUCGGCAAGGGGGUCAUCCCGACUUACCAACCCGAUGCAAACUGCGAAUACCGGAGAAUGUUAUCACGGGAGACACACGGCGGGUGCUAACGUCCGUCGUGAAGAGGGAAACAACCCAGACCGCCAGCUAAGGUCCCAAAGUCAUGGUUAAGUGGGAAACGAUGUGGGAAGGCCCAGACAGCCAGGAUGUUGGCUUAGAAGCAGCCAUCAUUUAAAGAAAGCGUAAUAGCUCACUGGUCGAGUCGGCCUGCGCGGAAGAUGUAACGGGGCUAAACCAUGCACCGAAGCUGCGGCAGCGACGCUUAUGCGUUGUUGGGUAGGGGAGCGUUCUGUAAGCCUGCGAAGGUGUGCUGUGAGGCAUGCUGGAGGUAUCAGAAGUGCGAAUGCUGACAUAAGUAACGAUAAAGCGGGUGAAAAGCCCGCUCGCCGGAAGACCAAGGGUUCCUGUCCAACGUUAAUCGGGGCAGGGUGAGUCGACCCCUAAGGCGAGGCCGAAAGGCGUAGUCGAUGGGAAACAGGUUAAUAUUCCUGUACUUGGUGUUACUGCGAAGGGGGGACGGAGAAGGCUAUGUUGGCCGGGCGACGGUUGUCCCGGUUUAAGCGUGUAGGCUGGUUUUCCAGGCAAAUCCGGAAAAUCAAGGCUGAGGCGUGAUGACGAGGCACUACGGUGCUGAAGCAACAAAUGCCCUGCUUCCAGGAAAAGCCUCUAAGCAUCAGGUAACAUCAAAUCGUACCCCAAACCGACACAGGUGGUCAGGUAGAGAAUACCAAGGCGCUUGAGAGAACUCGGGUGAAGGAACUAGGCAAAAUGGUGCCGUAACUUCGGGAGAAGGCACGCUGAUAUGUAGGUGAAGUCCCUCGCGGAUGGAGCUGAAAUCAGUCGAAGAUACCAGCUGGCUGCAACUGUUUAUUAAAAACACAGCACUGUGCAAACACGAAAGUGGACGUAUACGGUGUGACGCCUGCCCGGUGCCGGAAGGUUAAUUGAUGGGGUCAGCGCAAGCGAAGCUCUUGAUCGAAGCCCCGGUAAACGGCGGCCGUAACUAUAACGGUCCUAAGGUAGCGAAAUUCCUUGUCGGGUAAGUUCCGACCUGCACGAAUGGCGUAAUGAUGGCCAGGCUGUCUCCACCCGAGACUCAGUGAAAUUGAACUCGCUGUGAAGAUGCAGUGUACCCGCGGCAAGACGGAAAGACCCCGUGAACCUUUACUAUAGCUUGACACUGAACAUUGAGCCUUGAUGUGUAGGAUAGGUGGGAGGCUUUGAAGUGUGGACGCCAGUCUGCAUGGAGCCGACCUUGAAAUACCACCCUUUAAUGUUUGAUGUUCUAACGUUGACCCGUGAUCCGGGUUGCGGACAGUGUCUGGUGGGUAGUUUGACUGGGGCGGUCUCCUCCUAAAGAGUAACGGAGGAGCACGAAGGUUGGCUAAUCCUGGUCGGACAUCAGGAGGUUAGUGCAAUGGCAUAAGCCAGCUUGACUGCGAGCGUGACGGCGCGAGCAGGUGCGAAAGCAGGUCAUAGUGAUCCGGUGGUUCUGAAUGGAAGGGCCAUCGCUCAACGGAUAAAAGGUACUCCGGGGAUAACAGGCUGAUACCGCCCAAGAGUUCAUAUCGACGGCGGUGUUUGGCACCUCGAUGUCGGCUCAUCACAUCCUGGGGCUGAAGUAGGUCCCAAGGGUAUGGCUGUUCGCCAUUUAAAGUGGUACGCGAGCUGGGUUUAGAACGUCGUGAGACAGUUCGGUCCCUAUCUGCCGUGGGCGCUGGAGAACUGAGGGGGGCUGCUCCUAGUACGAGAGGACCGGAGUGGACGCAUCACUGGUGUUCGGGUUGUCAUGCCAAUGGCACUGCCCGGUAGCUAAAUGCGGAAGAGAUAAGUGCUGAAAGCAUCUAAGCACGAAACUUGCCCCGAGAUGAGUUCUCCCUGACUCCUUGAGAGUCCUGAAGGAACGUUGAAGACGACGACGUUGAUAGGCCGGAUGUGUAAGCGCAGCGAUGCGUUGAGCUAACCGGUACUAAUGAACCGUGAGGCUUAACCUU